GUGUUCUCAGUACACACGAGAUCCUGACUGCUAAAAUAACACCCAUCCCUUGGAGAAAGAAGGAGGGGAAGGUCGCCGCCAGUCUCUCCUCCCGGGUAGUAACUACGAAGAGCCUCUUCCUGCCGCCAAGCGGCGGAGCUGAAUGGGCAGCCCCGCCUCUGCUUCCUGGCGCCCGGACCUGUCAGGAGCUCCACGCUUUGGCUUGGGCGCCAGUUUUGACCUCUGCUCCGUGAUUGGUCGGCUCCGCUUCAAUCUGAACGUUGCAAGCCCCGCGCCAAGCCUCAGCCCGCGCUCGCUUGGCCGUGGUGGGGAAACGGAGGACCCAGGAAGAUCAAGGGCUUCAGGCAAAGCCACUCAGCUGCCUGCCUCAGAAUGACAUAAAGGUAGACCCAGCACCCACAGCCCCUCCCUGUACAGCUGGGCACGGUCAUGUACAUUUUAAAUCCAGAUGAAAAGGGAAAAUUGUUGUACCCAGAGUUCCCCAAAGACCACCAAGAGACCUAAUCCCAUGCAAAAGCAAAGAGUUAACUCUGGACUCUGCCAGUCUGACAGCAGAAGAGACCUCAGUAGCAAUGGGACACGGUUUUUAAAGCAAAGGGACCUUGGAGUCUACAGACUACACAGGAACAGACUGAGGAUUGGUUUAUGCGAGUGGCAACCAUAUGUGCUAUUAGUGCUCAGCAGUGAGGCAUCUGGAGAGCGGCAGCCCUGUGGUGUCUAGCAAGCUGUGAGCACCAGUGGGUAGAAGCUGUUAUGAUGGCUGCGAACCUUCUCCCAGGUUCUCCCAGGUUCCCCCAGGUCACAGUGACCCACCCUUCACAGUCCCGGCAGGCCGGGCUGCCUCCUGGAAGCCUUGCCCCUGACAGCAGUUUAUCUGGGCUGGGCCGGCAGCUGAGCACAGCAGGGCUGGAGAGAUACAGAGGUGACUCAGGAGACUCACACUGGGGAUGGGAUGACAGCUGGAGACCGUAGGGCAGUAUCCACCCGGAAGUGGGCAGACGAAGCAUUGUGGGAAAAGCAGAGAUCCAGAGCUCAGAGGCGUGGGUUCCCCACUCCCAGCAGGCACAAAGCUAAGUCCUCUCCAGGCCCACUCCUGUUCCCAGGCAUCUAUCCCAGACCCAGCCUCUGGCUGGUCCUCUCUAGCUCUUCCCUGGGCCCCAGACACAGCUUCCUGAGGGAGUCUGGCGAACUUCAUUCCCUACCUCCUACAAGUCUUCACUCAAAUGUAAGACUUCUGACUUAACAUCAACUGGCCACAUAGGAAAAUAAUAAACAGGUCAACGGCUCCUGGA